rnacentral:rRNA from 1 species
GUGAGGAAUAUUGGACAAUGGGCGCAAGCCUGAUCCAGCCAUGCCGCGUGCAGGAUGAAGCAUCUAUGGUGUGUAAACUGCUUUUGUACGGGAAGAAACACCUCUUCGUGAAGAGGCUUGACGGUACCGUAAGAAUAAGGACCGGCUAACUCCGUGCCAGCAGCCGCGGUAAUACGGAGGGUCCGAGCGUUAUCCGGAAUCAUUGGGUUUAAAGGGUCCGUAGGCGGCUUUAUAAGUCAGUGGUGAAAUCCGGCAGCUCAACUGUCGAACUGCCAUUGAUACUGUAGGGCUUGAAUUAUUGUGAAGUAACUAGAAUAUGUAGUGUAGCGGUGAAAUGCUUAGAUAUUACAUGGAAUACCAAUUGCGAAGGCAGGUUACUAACAAUACAUUGACGCUGAUGGACGAAAGCGUGGGGAGCGAACAGG